AUGCCCGGGUGUUGCGUGCCACAGUGCACAAACCACUCGCGAAAUGGCUAUAGGAUGUUCAGAUUUCCGAAAGAUCCGAAAAGGCGACUCCUGUGGCUGGUAAAGAUCAAGCGCGACAAGUGGCAACCCACGGACCGUUCGUGUUUGUGCAGCGGACAUUUCGAAGAAACCGCAUUUGAGCAGAACCGUGCGGACGGCUGGAAAAAAUUGAAGCCGAAUGCUCUGCCAACAAUCUUUUCGUUCAGAGCGAUGCCUAAGCACAGGAAGCCACCAAAAGAAAGGUUUUUACCACAAGGGACGCCUGCGGCCGCAGAAGAAAGUUGUUCUCUGCACAGUCAACCCCAUGCUUCUGAUACCUCAGCGACAGAAAUUCAAGAACAACAUGUCAACGACAUAGCUGGUAUGCAA